GUGGCGACGGGUGAGUAACACGUGGGCAAUCUGCCCUGCACUCUGGGACAAGCCCUGGAAACGGGGUCUAAUACCGGAUACGACACGGGACCGCAUGGUCUUCGUGUGGAAAGCUCCGGCGGUGCAGGAUGAGCCCGCGGCCUAUCAGCUUGUUGGUGAGGUAAUGGCUCACCAAGGCGACGACGGGUAGCCGGCCUGAGAGGGCGACCGGCCACACUGGGACUGAGACACGGCCCAGACUCCUACGGGAGGCAGCAGUGGGGAAUAUUGCACAAUGGGCGAAAGCCUGAUGCAGCGACGCCGCGUGAGGGAUGACGGCCUUCGGGUUGUAAACCUCUUUCAGCAGGGAAGAAGCGAAAGUGACGGUACCUGCAGAAGAAGCGCCGGCUAACUACGUGCCAGCAGCCGCGGUAAUACGUAGGGCGCAAGCGUUGUCCGGAAUUAUUGGGCGUAAAGAGCUCGUAGGCGGCUUGUCACGUCGGAUGUGAAAGCCCGGGGCUUAACCCCGGGUCUGCAUUCGAUACGGGCAGGCUAGAGUUCGGUAGGGGAGAUCGGAAUUCCUGGUGUAGCGGUGAAAUGCGCAGAUAUCAGGAGGAACACCGGUGGCGAAGGCGGAUCUCUGGGCCGAUACUGACGCUGAGGAGCGAAAGCGUGGGGAGCGAACAGGAUUAGAUACCCUGGUAGUCCACGCCGUAAACGGUGGGCACUAGGUGUGGGCAACAUUCCACGUUGUCCGUGCCGCAGCUAACGCAUUAAGUGCCCCGCCUGGGGAGUACGGCCGCAAGGCUAAACUCAAGGAAUUGACAGGGGCCCGCACAAGCAGCGAGCAUGUGCUUAUUCGACGCAACGCGAGACCUUACCA
rnacentral:rRNA from 1 species